GCGCCAGUAGCCCAACCGGCAGGAGGCGGCUCUCUCAGAAAGAGCACAGUGCAGGUUCGAAUCCUGCCUGGCGCACCA
rnacentral:tRNA from 1 species